GCUGGGCAUGGUCCCAGCUACUCUGGAGGCUGAGGCUGGAGGAUCGCUUGAGCCCAGGAGUUCUGGGCUGUAGUGUGCUACGCCAAUCGGGUGUCCAUACUAAGUUCGGCAUCAAUGUGGUGACCUCCUGGCAGCGGGGGACCACCAGGUUGCCUAAGGAGGGAUGAACCGGCCCAGGUGGGAAACGGAGCAGGUCAAAACUCCCGUGCUGAUCAGUAGUGGGAUCAUGCCUGUGAAUAGCCACUGCACUCCAGCCUGGGCAACACAGCAACACCUAGCCUCA
rnacentral:SRP_RNA from 1 species